UACGAAGGGGGCUAGCGUUGUUCGGAAUCACUGGGCGUAAAGGGCGCGUAGGCGGCCGAUCAAGUCGGGGGUGAAAGCCUGUGGCUCAACCACAGAAUUGCCUUCGAUACUGGUUGGCUUGAGACCGGAAGAGGUAAGUGGAACUGCGAGUGUAGAGGUGAAAUUCGUAGAUAUUCGCAAGAACACCAGUGGCGAAGGCGGCUUACUGGUCCGGUUCUGACGCUGAGGCGGCGAAAGCGAUGGGGAGCAAACAGG
rnacentral:rRNA from 1 species